AUUGAACGCUGGCGGCAGGCCUAACACAUGCAAGUCGAGCGGAGCGGCGGACGGGUGAGUAAUACCUAGGAAUCUGCCUGGUAGUGGGGGAUAACGUUCGGAAACGGACGCUAAUACCGCAUACUAUCAGAUGAGCCUAGGGGGGAUUGGCUAGUUGGUGAGGUAAGGGCUCACCAAGGCUACGAACCGUAACUGGUCUGAGAGGAGGAUCAGUCACACUGGAACGGAGACACGGUCCAGACUCCUACGUGAGGCAGCAGUGGGGAAUAUUGGACAAUGGGCGAAAGCCUGAGCCAGCCAUGCCGUGUGUGUGAAGAAGGUCUGCGGAUUGUAAAGCACUUUAAGUUGGGAGGCGUUACCGACAGAAUAAGCACCGGCUAACUACGUGCCAGCAGCCGCGGUAAUAC
rnacentral:rRNA from 1 species